CCAAUAGCGUAUAUUAAAGUUGUUGCAGUUAAAAAGCUCGUAGUUGAACUUCGGGGUUUACCCAUUGGUCAGGCUUAAUUGUCUGUACUGGUGAGAUAAAUCUCUACCUUCUGAGGAACUUUCAUGUCAUUAAUUUGGUGUGAUUGGAAAUCAGGACUGUUACUUUGAAAAAAUUAGAGUGUUUAAAGCAGGCUAACGUCUGAAUACAUUAGCAUGGAAUAAUGAAAUAGGACGGACUGAUUCUAUUUCGUUGGUUUCUAGGAUCACCGUAAUGAUUAAUAGGGAUAGUUGGGAGCAUUAGUAUUCAAUUGUCAGAGGUGAAAUUCUUGGAUUUAUUGAAGACUAACUACUGCGAAAGCAUUUGCCAAGGAUGUUUUCAUUAAUCAAGAACGAAAGUUAGGGGAUCGAAGACGAUCAGAUACCGUCGUAGUCUUAGCCAUAAACUAUGCCGACUAGGGAUCGGACGAAGUUAAUUUUAUAAUGACGCGUUCGGCACCUUACG
rnacentral:rRNA from 1 species